UCACAAGAUAAGUUGACACGGGGU
rnacentral:piRNA from 1 species